UACGGAGGGUGCAAGCGUUAUCCGGAUUCACUGGGUUUAAAGGGUGCGUAGGUGGGUCUGUAAGUCAGUGGUGAAAUCUCAGAGCUUAACUUGGAAACUGCCAUUGAUACUAUAGAUCUUGAAUAUUGUGGAGGUCAGCGGAAUAUGUCAUGUAGCGGUGAAAUGCUUAGAUAUGACAUAGAACACCAAUUGCGAAGGCAGCUGGCUACACAUAUAUUGACACUGAGGCACGAAAGCGUGGGGAUCAAACAGG
rnacentral:rRNA from 1 species